rnacentral:tRNA from 1 species
AUUUAUAUAGUUUAAGUAAAACAUUACAUUUUCACUGUAAAAAUAAUACUUAUGUAUUUAUAAAUA